CUGGGCAUGAACCUGGCAUACAAUGUAGAUUUCUGUGUUUGUUGGGCAACAGCUACAUUGUCUGCUGGGUUUCAGGCUACCUGG
rnacentral:pre_miRNA from 1 species